GCUUAGUGGCUGAUUUCCAACAGAAGAAACCAUUGGCUUUGAAUCCAAAGUUUGUGCAUGGGCUCAGAAGCAUACUUUGUGACUCCAGUUUGGAUAAAGAAUUUAUUGCAAAGGCAAUAACUCUGCCUGGUGAAGGAGAAAUAAUGGACAUGAUGGAAGUUGCAGACCCUGAUGCUGUUCAUGCUGUUCGAUCUUUUAUGAGGAAGCAGAUUGCCGCUGAACUGAAAGCAGAGUUUCUAACCACAGUUGAAAAUAAUAGGAGCUCAGAAGAAUAUGUGUUUAACCAUCCUAACAUGGCUAGGCGUGCUUUGAAAAAUGUUGCCUUAGCAUAUCUUGCAUCACUGGAAGAUGAGGAGAUAACAAAGCUUGAACUACAUGAAUACAGAACUGCCACAAAUAUGACGGAACAAUUUGCAGCUUUGGCAGCCAUAGCCCAUAACCCUGGUAAAAUGCGUGAUGAAGUCUUGGCUGACUUCUACAACAAAUGGCAGCAUGACUUUUUGGUUGUGAAUAAGUGGUUUGCCCUCCAAGCCAUGUCUGACAUUCCUGGUAAUGUUGAGAAUGUCCGAAACCUCUUCAAUCAUCCAGCAUUUGACCUGCGUAAUCCAAACAAUGUAUACUCGCUCAUUGGAGGAUUUUGCAGUUCUCCUGUGAAUUUCCAUGCAAAGGAUGGAUCAGGCUAUCAGUUCUUAGGCGAGAUAGUGGCGCAAUUAGACAAAAUUAAUCCUCAGGUGGCCUCCCGCUUGGUGUCAGCCUUCUCAAGGUGGAGGCGCUAUGAUGAAACCCGGCAAACUUUUGCCAAGGCACAGCUGGAGAUGAUCAUGUCUGCCAAUGGACUCUCUGAGAACGUCUUUGAGAUUGCCUCUAAAAGUUUGUCUGCUUAAAUGCUGGUAGUUGUUAUCAAUGCGAAAUAAGCAUGCUUAACUCAUUUUCAAGACCACCAUAAUAAUUAAUAAGUGUGUUUUUGCCCUUAAUACUUGCCUCUGCUGUAGCAGCAGUUGCUGCAUUCUGUAGCUCUCCAAACAAAUUUAUGUGUGAAAUGAUGUGCAAAGGUAACCAAAGUAAAAGAGUUCUGGUA
rnacentral:misc_RNA from 1 species